rnacentral:rRNA from 1 species
GACGGAGGAUGCAAGUGUUAUCCGGAAUCACUGGGCGUAAAGCGUCUGUAGGUGGUUCGAAAAGUCCACUGUUAAAGAUUGAGGCUUAACUUCAAAAAUGCCGUGGAAACUUUCAAACUAGAGUAUGGUAGGGGUAGAGGGAAUUUCCAGUGGAGCGGUGAAAUGCGUAGAUAUUGGAAAGACCACCGAUGGCGAAGGCACUCUACUGGGCCAUUACUGACACUGAGAGACCAAAGCUAGGGGAGCAAAUGGG